GACACGCUGGCGGCGUGCCUAAUACUAGCAGUCGAACGGUUUAGUUCCAAGAGGCUUGCCUUUUGGAACUAGACAGUGGCGGACGGGUGAGUAACACGUAGGCAACCUACCUGUCAAACCGGGAUAACCUCGGGAAACCGAAGCUAAACCCGGAUAAGCUCCUUUUUCGCAUGAAGGGGGAGUGAAAAGGUGCGACCUGAUGACAGAUGGGCCUGCGGCGCAUUAGCUAGUAGGUAGGGUAACGGCCUACCUAGGCGAUUGAAUUGCGUUAGCCGACCUGAGAGGGCGUACGGCCACACUGGGACUGAGAUACGGCCCAGACUCCUACGGGAGGCAGCAGUAGGGAAUCUUCGGCAAUGGGCGAAAGCCUGACCGAGCAACGCCGCGUGAGUGAGGAAGGCCUUCGAGUUGUAAAACUCUGUUGUUUGGGAAGAAGGGAAAGGGUAGGACCCUUUGGUGACGGUACCAAACGAGAAAGCCCCGGCUAACUACGUGCCAGCAGCCGCGGUAAUACGUAGGGGGCGAGCGUUGUCCGGAAUGAUUGGGCGUAAAGCGCGCGCAGGCGGUCCUUUAAGUCUGAUGUAAAAGCCCGCGGCUUAACCGCGGAAGGUCAUUGGAAACUGGGGGACUUGGGGCUAGGAGAGGGAAGUGGAAUUCCUGGUGUAGCGGUGAAAUGCGUAGAGAUCAGGAGGAAUACCGAUGGCGAAAGCAACUUCCUGGCUUAGAACUGACGCUGAGGCGCGAAAGCGUGGGGAGCAAACAGGAUUAGAUACCCUGGUAGUCCACGCUGUAAACGAUGAGUGCUAGGUGUGAGAGGUUUCAACACCUUUCGUGCCGCAGUUAACACAAUAAGCACUCCGCCUGGGGAGUACGGUCGCAAGACUGAAACUCAAAGGAAUUGACGGGGGCCCGCACAAGCGGUGGAGCAUGUGGUUUAAUUCGAAGCAACGCGAAGAACCUUACCAGGGCUUGACAUCCCUCUGACGGCUCUAGAGAUAGGGCGUCCCUUCGGGGCAGAGGAGACAGGUGGUGCAUGGUUUGUCGUCAAGCUUCCGGUUGUUCCGUUGAAAAUGUUUGGUUUAAUUCCCGCCAACGAGCGCAACCCUUGAGCUUAGUUGCCAGCAUUGGGUUGGGCACUCUAGGCUGACUGCCGCAGACAAUGCGGAGGAAGGUGGGGAUGACGUCAAAUCAUCAUGCCCCUUAUGUCCUGGGCUACACACGUGCUACAAUGGCCGGUACAGAGGGAAGCGAAGGAGCGAUCCGGAGCCAAACCCAAAAAGCCGGUCGUAGUUCGGAUUGCAGGCUGCAACUCGCCUGCAUGAAGCCGAAUCGCUAGUAAUCGCGAUCAGCAUGCCGCGUGAUACUCGGCCCUGUUGGNUUGGUGGNUGNUGUGUNNUGUUGUGGGGUNGUGUGUUU
rnacentral:rRNA from 1 species